AGCUUUGUGCAGUAUCAUAGCCAAUGAGGUUUAUCCGAGGCUCAAUUAUUGCUAAUUGAAAAAAAAUUAUUUCUAUGUUAUAUUUUUAAGCAAUUGUGAAAGAGGCUGUUUUUU
rnacentral:snRNA from 1 species